GACCCCAUGGUCUAGAGGCCUAGGACAUCACCCUUUCAAGGUGGUAACCCGGGUUCGAAUCCCGGUGGGGUCACCA
rnacentral:tRNA from 4 species